rnacentral:rRNA from 1 species
UACGAAGGGGGCUAGCGUUACUCGGAAUUACUGGGCGUAAAGCGCACGUAGGCGGCUUCUUAAGUCGGUGGUGAAAUCCUGGAGCUCAACUCCAGAACUGCCUUCGAUACUGGGAAGCUCGAGUCCGGGAGAGGUGAGUGGAACUGCGAGUGUAGAGGUGAAAUUCGUAGAUAUUCGCAAGAACACCAGUGGCGAAGGCGGCUCACUGGCCCGGUACUGACGCUGAGGUGCGAAAGCGUGGGGAGCAAACAGG